UGAGGCCGCCCGGAGGAUCAAAACGGA
rnacentral:piRNA from 1 species